rnacentral:rRNA from 1 species
GACGAACGCUGGCGGCGUGCUUAACACAUGCAAGUCGAACGGAAAGGCCUGCUUUCCCUUGUGGAUUGCGGGUACUCGAGUGGCGAACGGGUGAGUACACGUGAGUGAUCUGCCCCCAACUUGGGUAUAAGCCUGGGAAACUGGGUCUAAUUCCCGAUAGGACUGCAGGGUGGUGCCUGUGGUGGAAAACGAUUUUCUAGUGGUUGGGGAUGAGCUCGCGGCCUAUCAGCUUGUUGGUGGGGUAAUGGCCUACCAAGGCGGCGACGGGUAGCCGGCCUGAGAGGGUGGACGGCCACAUUGGGACUGAGAUACGGCCCAGACUCCUACGGGAGGCAGCAGUGGGGAAUAUUGCACAAUGGGCGGAAGCCUGAUGCAGCGACGCCGCGUGGGGGAUGACGGCCUUCGGGUUGUAAACUCCUUUCGACCGCGAGGAAGCCACCUGGUUGGAAGGGUGGUGACGGUAGUGGUAGAAGAAGCACCGGCUAACUACGUG